GUACGAGAUUGUUCCCUUACACUGAGACGCAGUCUGGUUUGGGGUACGUCGACUACGAUUUUCCAAGAUGUAAAACAUUAGGAAUUGGUGCAAAAUGGUGACCUAAACAACAGACUGUACUCUAGAUCGCAUCAUAUGAUUAAGGACAAAGAGUUGCAUUAAAGUAAGCAAGUGUAUAGAAAUAAGCUGAAAUAUGCCUUGAAUACUGGUACAUAUCCUAAAAGGGUGUAACAGCAUGUACUAAAUAAAGUUAAAUUUCAUUGCU